CCUACGGGAGGCAGCAGUGGGGAAUAUUGCACAAUGGGGGAAACCCUGAUGCAGCGACGCCGCGUGAGUGAAGAAGUAUCUCGGUACGUAAAGCUCUAUCAGCAGGGAAGAAAAUGACGGUACCUGACUAAGCAGCCCCGGCUAACUACGUGCCAGCAGCCGCGGUAAUACGUAGGGGGCAAGCGUUAUCCGGAUUUCCUGGGUGUGAAGGGAGCGUAGACGGCAGCACAAGUCUGGAGUGAAAUCCCGGGGCUUAACCCCGGAACUGCUUUGGAAACUGUGCGGCUGGAGUGCAGGAGGGGUAAGCGGAAUUCCUAGUGUAGCGGUGAAAUGCGUAGAUAGUAGGAGGAACACCGGUGGCGAAGGCGGCUUACUGGACUGUAACUGACGUUGAGGCUCGAAAGCGUGGGGAGCAAACAGGAUUAGAUACCCUAGUAGUC
rnacentral:rRNA from 1 species